rnacentral:rRNA from 1 species
AUUGAACGCUGGCGGCAGGCUUAACACAUGCAAGUCGAGCGGAGAUGAGGUGCUUGCACCUUAUCUUAGCGGCGGACGGGUGAGUAAUGCUUAGGAAUCUGCCUAUUAGUGGGGGACAACAUUCCGAAAGGAAUGCUAAUACCGCAUACGUCCUACGGGAGAAAGCAGGGGAUCUUCGGACCUUGCGCUAAUAGAUGAGCCUAAGUCGGAUUAGCUAGUUGGUGGGGUAAAGGCCUACCAAGGCGACGAUCUGUAGCGGGUCUGAGAGGAUGAUCCGCCACACUGGGACUGAGACACGGCCCAGACUCCUACGGGAGGCAGCAGUGGGGAAUAUUGGACAAUGGGGGAAACCCUGAUCCAGCCAUGCCGCGUGUGUGAAGAAGGCCUUAUGGUUGUAAAGCACUUUAAGCGAGGAGGAGGCUACUGAGACUAACACUCUUGGAUAGUGGACGUUACUCGCAGAAUAAGCACCGGCUAACUCUGUGCCAGCCGCCGCCGUAAUAC